rfam:Brassica napus, WGS project CCCW01000000 data, contig: 286
GAUCCCAAUGAUGAUGAAUAAAUAAAAAAAUGUUAAAAGUAGUGACUGAUUAUAUACCUUGACGAAUAAUCGAAUUCUGAGGGAUC